UACGGGGGGGGGCAAGCGUUGUUCGGAAUUACUGGGCGUAAAGGGCUCGUAGGCGGCCAACUAAGUCGGAUGUGAAAUCCCCAGGCUUAACCUGGGAACUGCAUCCGAUACUGGAUGGCUUGAAUCCGGGAGAGGGAUGCAGAAUUCCAGGUGUAGCGGUGAAAUGCGUAGAUAUCUGGAGGAAUACCGGUGGCGAAGGCGGCAUCCUGGACCGGCAUUGACGCUGAGGAGCGAAAAGCGUGGGGAGCAAACAGG
rnacentral:rRNA from 1 species